UCGCCUGUUUAUCAAAAACAUGGUCUCUUGAUUAUUUAGGAGAUUUAACCUGCCCACUGACAAGGUUUUGAAGGGCCGCAGUAUUUUGACUGUGCAAAGGUAGCAUAAUCAUUAGUCUUUUAAUUGAAGGCUGGUAUGAAUGGUUGGACGAGGUAAAUUCUGUUUUAUAUUAAUUUAAAUUGAAUUUAGAUUUUAAGUAAAAAUACUUAAAUUCUAUUAAGGGACGAGAAGACCCUAUAGAGUUUAAUAUAUUAAGUUUUAAUUGAGUUAAAAAGUAAUUUUUGGUUAAUUAUGUAAUGUAUUUAAUUGGGGUGAUGAAAAGAUAAGAGAAACUCUUUUUUAUAUUUUAUAUUUUAUAUAGUUUUAUGAUCCAUAUUUUAUGAUUAGAAGAUUAAAUUACCUUAGGGAUAACAGCAUAAUUCUUUUUGAGAGUUCAUAUUGAAAAAGGAGAUUGUGACCUCGAUGUUGGAUUAAGAUAAAUUUUAGGUGUAGAUGUUUAAAAGUUAGGUCUGUUCGACCUUUAAAUUCUUACAUGAUCUGAGUUCAAACCGGAGA
rnacentral:rRNA from 1 species